rnacentral:rRNA from 1 species
CCUACGGGUGGCAGCAGUGAGGAAUAUUGGUCAAUGGGCGCGAGCCUGAACCAGCCAAGUAGCGUGAAGGAUGACUGCCCUACGGGUUGUAAACUUCUUUUAUAAAGGAAUAAAGUGAGGCACGUGUGCCUUUUUGUAUGUACUUUAUGAAUAAGGAUCGGCUAACUCCGUGCCAGCAGCCGCGGUAAUACGGAGGAUCCGAGCGUUAUCCGGAUUUAUUGGGUUUAAAGGGAGCGUAGAUGGGUUGUUAAGUCAGUUGUGAAAGUUUGCGGCUCAACCGUAAAAUUGCAAUUGAUACUGGCAGUCUUGAGUACAGUGGAGGUAGGAGGAAUUCGGGGUGUAGCGGUGAAAUGCUUAGAUAUGACGAAGAACUCCGAUUGAGAAGGAAGCUUACUAAACUGCCACAGCCAUUGAUGGUCAAAGGUGUGGGUAUGAAAGAGAAUAGAUACCCGGGUAGUC